UACGUAGGGGGCAAGCGUUGUCCGGAAUUAUUGGGCGUAAAGAGCGCGUAGGCGGUCCGGUAAGUCGGCUGUGAAAGUCAAGGGCUCAACCCUUGAAAGCCGGCCGAUACUGUCGGACUAGAGUCCGGAAGAGGCGAGUGGAAUUCGCGGUGUAGCGGUGAAAUGCGCAGAUAUCGGGAGGAACACCAAUGGCGAAGGCAGCUCGCUGGGACGGUACUGACGCUGAGGCGCGAAAGCAUGGGGAGCGAACAGG
rnacentral:rRNA from 1 species